GGGGAAUCUAAAAGAGCUCAAUGUGUCAAUGAUGGGGGUAUAGGCACAAUCUUACUAUGACAGCUCAGUAUCACUGUCUAACUUGUAAAUUGCUUUAGAACAACCAAAUCAGCAUGUUCAAAAUAUGCAAAAGUUAACGUAUCUGAAGACAUUGAUAAUCAAAGUAAAAUGAUAGCUUACCUAUGCAUGGCAAAAAUAGCAGAAGAAAGACAAUAUUGUUUGUCCCCAUGUUAGAAGAAAUUUGAAGAUGAGGGAGGAUUGUAACUUAAAUGCAAGAGGAGCCAGUAAAAAAAGUAAAUACUUGUUACUGAUUGGUCAGCU